GAUGAACGCUGGCGGCGUGCUUAACACAUGCAAGUCGAACGAAGCAUUUAGAACGGAUUACUUCGGUUUGAAGUUCUUUAUGACUGAGUGGCGGACGGGUGAGUAACGCGUGGGUAACCUGCCUUGUACUGGGGGAUAGCAGCUGGAAACGGCUGGUAAUACCGCAUAAGCGCACAAUGUUGCAUGACAUGGUGUGAAAAACUCCGGUGGUAUAAGAUGGACCCGCGUCUGAUUAGCUAGUUGGUGAGAUAACAGCCCACCAAGGCGACGAUCAGUAGCCGACCUGAGAGGGUGACCGGCCACAUUGGGACUGAGACACGGCCCAGACUCCUACGGGAGGCAGCAGUGGGGAAUAUUGCACAAUGGAGGAAACUUUGACGCGGCGACGCCGCGUGAGUGAAGAAGUAAUUCGUUAUGUAAAGCUCUAUCAGCAGGGAAGAUAGUGACGGUACCUGACUAAGAAGCUCCGGCUAAAUACGUGCCAGCCGCCGCAGUAA
rnacentral:rRNA from 1 species